AAUGGAACGGGUCCGUCCCUCGCUCUUGUCUCCCUCCCGAUGCUGCCUCGCAAAUCUUCUCCCUCAUAGUAGUUGCUCUUCCCCUCUCGUCUCACCCAUGGCCGGUGAUUCUCCUCUCACGUCUCUCACUCUGCGCGGAUUUAGGGCUGUCAACCCUCUCAUCCCCGUUGCCCUCAUCCCUGCCGGCAGUGGCGGCGCUGCACCACAGAUCUGGCCAAGGAAGACAAGCGGCGGGUGCGUCAGAGCGGCGGCACGCCGGAGCAACAAGCGUGUCUGAGGAUUUGCAUCACCCUCAUCUCUACGUGCCUAAUCACCGUUUCCUACAGCAUGUGCGUCGGAUCUUGCUUGCUGGAAGCGACCUGGCUAGAUGCUGUGGAGGGCGGCAGCAACCUUGCUUGCUUCAGAUGUGAGAGGGAUCGUGACGCUCUUAUGCGGCUCUGCGCAAGAAUGGUUAGAAGAGGCAGCUCUGAAUUUAGUGCUUAGAGUCAGUAUGUUCUUGCGCAGGUGGGAUUGUAGUAUAUUUAUCAUAAUAAGCAGUGUGUGUUUCUUCUUCAAAUCACUA